GUCGUAGGGUGCGAGCGUUGUCCGGAUUUAUUGGGCGUAAAGAGCUCGUAGGCGGCUCGUCGCGUCGACCGUGAAAACCCGCAGCUUAACUGCGGGCUUGCGGUUGAUACGGGCGGGCUAGAGUUCGGUAGGGGAGACUGGAAUUCCUGAUGUAGCGGUGAAAUGCGCAGAUAUCAGGAGGAACACCGGUGGCGAAGACGGGUCUCUGGGCCGAUACUGACGCUGAGGAGCGAAAGCGUGGGGAGCGAACAGG
rnacentral:rRNA from 1 species